rnacentral:tRNA from 1 species
ACCCGGUUCGUCCAGUGGCAAGACGCCUCUCCUACAAAGAGGAGCCGAGGGUUCGAUUCCUUCACCGGGUA